rnacentral:lncRNA from 1 species
UUUUUAUCCAGCCAACAUGAGCUCAUUUCUCAUGCUGGGUGGAAUGUAAGCCUCACAAGUGCAAAAGCAGAGAUCCAAUUCUUUCACAUCCUUAGAGAUUGUCUCAUAAACCAAGGUUUUGUAUAGAGCUCCAAGAGCUGCCUAACACUGAAGGCUUAGCUCUGCAGAGAAAUACACAAAAAAUUUGAAUUUUCAGACAAAAACCGAAAAUAAAAAACCCCUGUGUUAAAAGAAGAUGGAGUUUUGAAAGUUACAUGAAAUUUAAAAGUUUGAAAUUUUAUAGGAAAUUUUAAAAUAUUGAAGGCAAUGUUACUAAUUUAAAGCUUUGGGGGAUGAAUAGCUAAAAUGUCAAAGGUAAGUAAGUUUUUUACAUAUUGUAGCAUAUUUGUAUUCUUUUGAAAUGACUUCUAAAAAUGUUUUAAAUCAAAGUUUGACCAACAUCAGGUCAUUUGAAUGCCCAUGUCUAAAAACAAGCCUCACUCACAGUUUGGCU